AGGUCCUCGGAUCGUAAACCUCUGUCAGGAGGAAAGAACCGCCACGGUGCUAAUCAGCCGUGGUCUGACGGUACCUCCAAAGGAAGCACCGGCUAACUCCGUGCCAGCAGCCGCGGUAAUACGGAGGGUGCGAGCGUUAAUCGGAAUCACUGGGCGUAAAGCGCACGUAGGCUGCUUGGUAAGUCAGGGGUGAAAGCCCGCGGCUCAACCGCGGAAUUGCCUUUGAUACUGCCGAGCUAGAGUCCGGGAGAGGGUAGUGGAAUUCCAGGUGUAGGAGUGAAAUCCGUAGAGAUCUGGAGGAACAUCAGUGGCGAAGGCGACUACCUGGACCGGUACUGACGCUGAGGUGCGAAAGCGUGGGGAGCAAACAUGAUUAUAUACCCUGGGUCAA
rnacentral:rRNA from 1 species